UACGAACCGUCCAAACGUUAUUCGGAAUCACUGGGCUUAAAGAGUCCGUAGGCGGCCAAUUAGGUGAGGUGUGAAAUCCCCCGGCUUAACCGAGGAAUUGCGCUUCAAACCGAUUGGCUAGAGGAAGAUAGAGGAAAGCGGAACUGAUGGUGGAGCGGUGAAAUGCGUUGAUAUCAUCAGGACACCGGUGGCGAAAGCGGCUUUCUGGGUCUUUUCUGACGCUGAGGGACGGAAAGCUAGGGGAGCGAACGGG
rnacentral:rRNA from 1 species